GUGCCAGCCGCCGCGGUAAUACCGGCAGCCCGAGUGAUGGCCGAUAUUAUUGGGCCUAAAGCGUUCGUAGCCGGCCAGUCAAGUCUGUUGGGAAAUCCACGCGCUCAACGCGUGGGCGUCCAGCGGAAACUGUCUGGCUUGGGGCCGGAGGACUCGAGGGGUACGUCCGGGGUAGGAGUGAAAUCCCGUAAUCCUGGACGGACCACCGAUGGCGAAAGCACCUCGGAAGGACGGAUCCGACAGUGAGGGACGAAAGCUAGGGUCUCGAACCGGAUUAGAAACCCCGGUAGUCC
rnacentral:rRNA from 1 species